rfam:Ipomoea nil DNA, scaffold: scaffold0878, cultivar: Tokyo-kokei standard.
GGGUCUUUAGCCCAGUGGUAGAGCAUUUGAUUGCAGAUCAAGAGAUCAUUGGUUCAAACCUGGUAGGGCCCU